GAUGAACGCUGGCGGCGUGCUUAACACAUGCAAGUCGAACGGAAAGGCCCAAGCUUGCUUGGGUACUCGAGUGGCGAACGGGUGAGUAACAUGUGGGUGAUCUGCCCUGCACUUCGGGAUAAGCCUGGGAAACUGGGUCUAAUACCGGAUAGGACGAUGGUUUGGAUGCCAUUGUGGAAAGUUUUUUCGGUGUGGGAUGAGCUCGCGGCCUAUCAGCUUGUUGGUGGGGUAAUGGCCUACCAAGGCGUCGACGGGUAGCCGGCCUUAGAGGGUGUACGGCCACAUUGGGACUGGGAUACGGCCCAGACUCCUACGGGGGGCAGCAGUGGGGAAUAUUGCACAAUGGGCGCAAGCCUGAUGCAGCGACGCCGCGUGGGGGAUGAAGGCCUUCGGGUUGUAAACUCCUUUCGCUUGGGACGAAGCGUUUUUGUGACGGUACCUGGAGAAGAAGCACCGGCUAACUACGUG
rnacentral:rRNA from 1 species